rnacentral:rRNA from 1 species
AUGUGGUUAAUUCGAUGAUACGCGAGGAACCCUACCUGGGCUCGAACGUAAGAUGACUGUAGGUGAAAGCUUACAUCUCUUCGGAGCAUUUUACGAGGUGCUGCAUGGUUGUCGUCAGCUCGUGCCGUGAGGUGUCGGGUUAAGUCCCAUAACGAGCGCAACCCUACCUUUAGUUGCCAUCAGGUUAAGCUGGGGACUCUAAAGGAACUGCCUACGCAAGUAGUGAGGAAGGCGGGGAUGACGUCAAAUCAGCACGGCCCUUACGUCCAGGGCUACACACGUGCUACAAUGGCCGAUACAGAGGGCAGCUACCUGGUGACAGGAUGCAAAUCUCCAAAGUCGGUCUCAGUUCGGAUCGGAGUCUGCAACCCGACUCCGUGAAGUUGGAUUCGCUAGUAAUCGCGCAUCAGCCAUGGCGCGGUGAAUACGUUCCCGGGCCUU